rnacentral:rRNA from 1 species
CUGACUAAAAUUUGUGCCAGCAGUCGCGGUUAUACUUAAAGGGUAAAUAAAUACAAUUUGGUGUUAUAGUAAAUUAUUAGUUAAAUAAAACUUAUUAUUUUUUUUAAAGGGUGAAAUCGGAAUUUAAUUAUAAUAAUAAUUYUAAAUAAAGACAAAAAUAAACUAUAAAUUUUAAUAUAUAAACUAGGAUUAGAUACCCUAUUAUAC